UGGGCCCCACGCAACGGAAGGUUACGAACUCCGUCAGGUCCGGAAGGAAGCAGCGG
rnacentral:SRP_RNA from 1 species